rnacentral:lncRNA from 1 species
UGACAAUGGUUGGUCAAUUAUGAUGAAUAAUGGUGCAGUAUUUAAAAACCCUAGCAUAAAUUGAUUUAAUCCUGUUUUUCAAAUUAAAUGGGAAUUUAAGAUUUUUAUAUAAAAUUAAGAUAUAUGAUAUAUGUUGUGUGUUACUUCAUGGUAUGCUAAUUAGGAAACCCUAAUUAUUAAAUUUAAAACCCUAGUUUAUAUUUGUAUUUUCUAGAUAUUAGAAAACCCUAAACUAUGAAUGAAAACCCUAAUCCGGAAACCUAAACCGGAGGUUUGAUCUGUCAAGAAUUGUGUUACUAUGAUUAAUAACACGUGUGAUAGACUUUAAUUGCUAAUUAAAAUAAAUCUAAUUAGUAAAUUAAAACCCUAAAACCUAGAACCCUAAAUUAAUUUCUAGAAACCCUAAUUAUAUUAUGGAAACCCUAAUUUUUGGUAUUAUAAACCCUAAUUGCUUUAUUAGCAAAGUUAAUUAUGAUUAAGGGUAAUAAACCCUAAUAUCCAUGUAUAAGGUCAUUACAAACUUACUUUAAUUAACAAAGUUAUUAUUUUCAAAAUUUUAGAAACUAAAAUAAUUUUAUUUUCUUUAUAAACCCUAGUUGCUAAAUCCUAAUUUUGGAAAUCCUAGAAUUUUGCUAACUUGGCUCAAACCCUAAACCCUAAGGGUUUACAAGGAUUACAUGGUUGCCCUUAAAAUUACAAACUAAAUGACCAUUAUACCCCUAGUUGUAUUAUUUAGGCUAAAUAUUAGGUUUUGACAUUUAGGUUGAGUUGUUAACCAACUCAUACUAACUCCAACAACUCUCUUGACUUCUAAUGACAGCAACAAGCUACUAAUCUCAGCCAAUACAUGCAUCCAUGUUGUCUAUAUAAGGAUUGAGAGAGAGAAAAAGUGAUUUUGUUAGCCAAUUUUAUUCAAUACUCAACCAACUCUCAUUUUCUCUCAAACCAACGAAAUUUGUUGCUAAAUCAGUCCCUUUAUCAAGCCCCACAUCCUCCAUAAUCCAAUCACAAACAACUUGGAGAGCAAAAAUCAAAAAUCAAGGCAUAAAGGUAUAAAAACCCUAAUUUUCGAAAUCCUUUGAUUUGAUGUUAAUUGUUGAAAUUGAUUUGUUAAAUAUGUGUAAUAAGGAGUGUAUUAAUGUUCUGGGUUGUUAGAUUCAUGACCCAUAACAUCAAAGUGCUCAAAAUCAAAGUUUUUCCAACUUUUAAAAAAAACGAAAUCUGUUAUUUUUAGGCAAAUGUCAGGCCUUAUAUCUCUGUGAUUAUUUAGUCUUUUUGGUGUUUGUAAGUUGUUAUAUGUAGUAUGUAAUAUGCUCUUUAAGGUACAAAAAGAAUCAAGUUCAUAUCUGUUAUAUAUCAAGAGUUAUUCAUGGUCAAAACCCGUUGACCGAAACUGCUCAAGAACACGAACCCAGAAUUUUAUGAACAAUUUCCGUGGUGAACUUUGACCGGAUAUUUCCAGUUAGAUAUGUUGUUGUUAUAUGUAUAUUAUGUAUUAUAGUUGUAGUCCUACAUGAGUUCUACACACUGGAAUUGAUAGAUCACACAAACAUUACAUGGAUUACAAGUUAUAGAGGUCCAAAGUAGGCACCUCGAACUGUUCUUUGUGAAGAACAGCUCUGACAGCUAUUUUGAUGGCCAAUAUCUCCCAUAUCUGAUGUUGUUAAGCCAUGAUUGUUGUUGGUAAUUAUAGUCUUACAUGAGCAC